UACGUAGGGUGCGAGCGUUGUCCGGAAUUAUUGGGCGUAAAGGGCUCGUAGGCGGUCUGUUGCGUCAGGAGUGAAAACUCGGGGCUUAACCCCGAGCCUGCUUCUGAUACGGGCAGACUAGAGGUAUGCAGGGGAGAACGGAAUUCCUGGUGUAGCGGUGAAAUGCGUAGAUAUCUGGAAGAACACCAGUGGCGAAGGCGGUCAACUGGCCCGUUAACUGACGCUGAGGCACGAAAGCGUGGGGAGCGAACAGG
rnacentral:rRNA from 1 species